GGCUCAACGAUACUUAUUAAAGCACAGUAAAGAAAACUUUAUUCAGGACCAUUGAGAUAGUCACAGGGACCACUGCAAUGGGAUCUUGCAGAGGGGGAGAGAGAUUGGGCUCCAUUCUGAAUACAGCAUGGGCGAGUGGGAAUUCUGAGCCAAGGAACAGAGUGGGGAGCAGUGAAUGGAAAAUGACUAAGAGGAAACGUUGGGGUAAAGGGGUUCUGUCCAAACUGACCCAACAGGAUUCUUGCUGAAGACAGGCCCAUCAGCCAUCACCUGGGGGAUGGUGGAGGAGGAGGAACCUGAUCAGAUAUCGAAGAUGGGCGGCAGUUCUUGCUAAACUAGACUUAGCAGGUUCUUUGCUAAAACUAGAUUUUACAAGGAAGUGCACAGAUGGACCUAGGAGAAGGCUCAGAAGCCUGACUAAAAUUUGGCCAACCAAAGAAUCUUUGUCAUUGGUAGAAGACCUACAUUUCUCUCAACAACAGCCUCUUGAUAGGGCUGCUUGAGUGUUCCCACAACACGUUAGCUGGUUUCCCUCAGAGCUGGUGAUCCAAGAGAGAAAUAUUGAAGCUGCAAUGUAAUGUAUAACUUACUCUCAGACAUCAGAUUCUUGUCACUUCUGUCUUAUUCUAUUAGUUAAAAGUGAGUCACAGCCAGGCAUAGCUGGAUCCAGGUAGUCAUCAGAAAUGAGUCUCUCCUUAUCUGGAGUACAGUGGUGUGAUCUCGGCUCACUGCAACCUCCGCCUCACGGGUUCAAGCAAUACUCCUGCCUCAGCCUCCUGAGUAGCUGGGACUACAGACGUGCGCCACCACGCCUGACUAAUUUUUGUAUUUUUAGUAGAGACAGGGUUUCAUCAUGUUGGCCAGCUGGCCUUGAACUCCUGACUUCAAGUAAUCUGCCUGCUUUGGCCUCCCAAAGUACUGGGGUUACAGGUGUGAGCCACCGAGCCCGGCCUCCUCUGUGUUGGCUUAGUUCUGAAGCAGGCUGUCCUUACAUGCUGGACACUAACAGCUGAAGACUAUGACUGUGAUUACUCAGUCGGGUCACAGGCUCACUCCUGGAAUCAGAGAGCAGGGCCAGUCCCUCGGAACCACAGGAUCUGAGAAUGGAGCAGGUUUGUCACCCAAAGGAGAAAAGGAAAAGAAGGGCUGUGGAGCUGGCCUGACAUCAGGUGUACUUCUAGACAGGUGACUAAGUUACAGCCCUCAAACAGAGAGGGCCUCCUGAGGGAAAUGUCCUGAGGGAAGGGGAAAUCGGCCUUGGGAAUGAGCAGAAGUGCUAAGAUCAAAUCUCUCUCCAAGGCUACUUCUUGGUUGUGUAAGCUCUGCAAGACUUUGUCCCUGACUUUCUCCUGUGAAAUCAAGUCUUUGCCAGUUGUCCUGAGGGUUAACUGAAAUAGCAUAUACAGGGGCUCGUGAAGUCACCCUGUUCUCUUCCCAUUAAAUCAAACAGUAAAGUCCCAGGGCUGGUCUACCUUGCUAGAAAAAAGAAGCUGACUCCACCUAGUGGCUAAUGGGGUCAUUGCACUGAAGAGUUGAACAUUUACAGAACUGCGUUCUGAUAUUCCUAGACAGAUGAAGCAGCAUAUAUGAACAGUAAGCUUGGGAGAGACAGGCCGGGGACGGGUCUGCCCUGUCUCUGUAACAGGGCUUUGCACAGGGCAGAGAGGUGAGGUUAGGUGGAUGGAUGGUCAGAGGGAGAAAGUGUUCUUCCUAUUGUAUUUUACACUAGUGACUGCUCAUCAGAGCAUCUGGUUUGGGGGUGGGGACAGCUCAUCUGGCAGGGACUGCUGUGAGGGAAGGAAGGGCUUUCUUCUUCUUCUUCUUUUUUUUUUUUUGAGACAGAGUCUCGCUCUGUCGCCCAGGCUGGAGUGCAGUGGCACGAUCUCAGCUCACUGCAAGCUCCGCCUCCCGGGUUCAUGCCAUUCUCCUGCCUCAGCCUCCCGGUAGCUGGGACUACAGGCACCCGCCACUACGACCAGCUAAUUUUUUGUAUUUUUAGUAGAGAUGGGGUUUCACCGUGUUAGCCAGGAUGGUCUCGAUCUCCUAACCUUGUGAUCCGCCCACCUCAGCCUCCCAAAGUGCUGGGAUUACAGGCGUGAGCCACCGCGCCUGGCGCCUGGCCCCUUUUUUCUUUCUUUCUUUUUUUUUUUUUUAAGAGGCUCCCAUUAUGUUGCCCAGGCUGGAUUUGAACUCCUGGGCUCAAGCGAUCCUCCUGCCUCAGCCUCCCGAGCAGAUGGGAUUGCAGGCACGUGCACCACACCUGGCUUAGGGCUCUGGGAGGAAACUCUACCUGUUCAUUGCUACUUCUUCAGGAUUUGAGCUGGGAACUGUGAUUUCUUCUAACUUCCACUUCACAAGGCCUCAGGUCACAUAUAGCUGGUGGCAGUGCUCAGACCAACACUUAGGGCUCCUGAAUCCCAGGCCCUUGUCCCUCAUGCCACCCCUCAUUGGCUGCUAUACAGGUACAUGUCUAGAUCUGUGUCUGCACUGGUGGGUUGUUAUAUUCAAACAGCUGCUUUGCAUCUAGCUCUGGGCUAAGAGUAUGCUUCCACUUCCUCUUGGUUCCAUUUCAUGCAUGAUUCCAUUUCUUCCCCUCAGGUGUGACACCUCAGUAGUGUCACUGGCCAAAGAGCCUUGGGCCUGGGAUAAGCAGGGGCUCCCCAGUAGUGGAGGGUGACUUUUCGCUGGGCCCCAGUAAAGAAUCACUUCUAGCCACUAUGCUACUUUUCCCCCCGCCUCAGUCAGACCGGAUUACUGAAUCUUAUUACAUGGGGCUAUGCCAGAUGCCAUCUGCUUGUGGCCUUACCCCCGCUCCAGGGGGACUCAGGGCUUACUUCAGGUCAACAAUAGAAAGAGCAGCAGCUAUCAUUUAUAUAGCAUUUAUCAUGUGUAAGGCACUAUUAUUUCAUAUCCACCUAUUCUUUUAAUUCUCAUGAUCACCCUGUGAGGUAGGUACUAAUGUUCCACCCCGAGGCAGCUUUGCGAUGGCAGAGCUGGGAUCUGAACCUUAGCUGCUUGCUUCCCAGAACCUGAGUUUUCGCCACUACGCUAGACUGCCUCUCCAGAGCUGAUGCCUCUCUGAGACCCUCCCUAGGCACUGGAGCCAUGAGCAGGGGCUCCCUCAUAUGCUUGCCUGCUGUAUUGUGGGUCCUGGGUAUUGAUUUCUGAGGCCAUUCGAGGCUACAAAAUUCAAACCUGUCUUGAGCAUGCUAAAAGUAAGAAGGGCCCUGAUUUCAAGUCAGGAACUAUGGAUUCAAAUUCCUGGGUACCACCAGAAUGGCCAAUAUUAAAAAAACUGACAACACCAAGUGCUAACCAAGACGUGGAGCUGCUGGAGCUCCCACACACUGCUGGUGAGGAUGUAAGUCAAUAGAGCCACUUUGGAAAACUGUUUGGCAGUGUCUAGACAAGCUAAACAUAUGCCUACUCUAUGAUUCCACGCCUGAGUAGAUGAGUGAACAUGUGUACCAAGCAGCAUGUAAAAAAUCCUUCACAGCAGUUUUAUUUAUGAUACCCCCAAACUAGAAACAACCCAGUUGUCCCUCAACAGGAUGGCUGGGCCAGGCUUGGUGGCUCACGCUUGUAAUCCCAGCACUUUGGGAGGCUAAGGUGGGUGGAUCGCUUGAGCCCAGGAGUUUGAGACCAGCCUGGGCAACAGGGUGAGACGCCAUCCCUACAAAAAAUACGAAAAACUAGCUGGCAUGGUGGCAUGUGCCUGUAGUCCCAGCUACUUGGGAGGCUGAGGCGGGAGGAUCACUUGAGCCCAGGAGUUCGAGACCAGCCUGGGCAACAGAGACUCCAUCUCUACAAAAAAUAGAAAAAAUUAGCUGGUGUGGUGGCAUGUGCCUGUAGUCUCAGCUACUUGGGAGGCUGAGGUGGGAGGAUCACUUGAGCCCAGGAGGUCGAGGCUGCAGUGAGUCUUGAUGGCACCACUGCAUUCCAGCCUGGGGGCCAGAGUGAGAACAUCUCAAAAACAAAAACAAAAAAGUAGGAUGGCUAAAUUGUGCUAUAUUCAAAUAAAGGACCACUACACAGCACGAAAAAACUCAACUUGUUUUUUUUUUUUUGAGACAGAGUCUUACUACGUCACCUAGGCUGGAGUGCAGUGGCGCGAUCUCAGCUCACUUGCAACCUCCGCCUCCCAGGUUCAAGCGAUUCUCCUGCCUCAGCGAGCAGCUGAGAUUACAGGCAUCCACCACCACGACCAGCUAAUUUUUGUAUUUUUAGUAGAGACAGGGUUUCACCAUGUUGGCUAGGCUGGUCUGGAACUCCUGACCUCAAGUGAUGCGCCCGCCUCGGCCUCCCAAAGAGCUGGGAUUACAGGCAUGAGCCACUGCGCCUGGCUGAAAAAAAAAAACUGAACUUCUGAGACAUACAGUAACAUGGGUGAAUUCCACAAACUAAUAUUGUGCAAAAUGUAUGAUUCCAUUUUUAUAAAACUCAAGAGCAAGCAAAACUAAUCUAUAAUGAUCGAGGUCAAAAUAGUGGUUGCUUCUGGGGGAUACUGACUAGGAGGGGAAAUGAGGGAAUGUUUUAGGGACCUGGCAAUGUUCUGUAUCUUGAUCUGGAGGGUGACUGCCCCAAUGUAUACAUGUAAGUGAGGAUUCAUCAAACUGAAGUCUAAAAUUGGUGCACAUUACUGAAUGUAUGGUGUACCUCAAAAAGUUAGAGAAAAAAAGGAAACAGUUAAACAAUUUCUGGGUAUAGUGCACAGUUGUUUUUGUCCCCCUCCCCCUGCAUCCAUUCCCCCUUAAUCUGGAAAGAGCCCUACAACCUUCUUCUUUUGGGGUUGUAUCACUCCCUCUCUCAAUGUUUUAGGUGGAGCUGACUCAGCUUUAGGCACAUGACCCAGGCCCCAAAUCAGAGUGCCUUUUCCCCUAGCCACAAUGAUUAAUUCAGGGAUGAGAACAGGACUAAACCAGUUGAGGCAAUCCCAGAUAUUUUGUUGGAACUAGUGGAGAAAGGUGUUCUUUCCACUGUUGUUACUAACGUAUCAGGAUAGAAGCCUGGGGCUGCCAGUGGCCACCUUGGCACCUCUUGGAGAGAGCUUGCCUGAGAAAGGGCACACAGAGGAAAGCAGAGGGAUAGACAAUUCUUCCUGAUGAGACCAUCUCCGAGUCUGGGUCCAGCUAUCAUUGUAUGUGGAUUUUUCAUUAAGUGAAUCAAUACAUUUACCUUUUUAGCUAAUCGCUUUGAUUUGGGUUUCUAACACUUUAAUAAUUAGAGUCUACUACACUGGGAUCAUGGGAAUGGACAAAAUUAUGAGAAAAAUGGAGGGACUUGGAAUAUAAACAUUGAGCCUUGUCUCAUCUGUUUUGUGGGUGCUGCCCCUGCCCUGAGUGGCUGCUCACCCUGUGAGACCAUGGCACUGACAGGAGAUGGGUGAGGCAGGCUGCAGGGGCCAUGUGGGAGGUACUCUGGUCCUCACUCAUAAAGGGUUCCAGAGGAAGUCUAGAGAACUGGAUUCUACUCUCCAUUUUGUCAUUUCUUAGAGGCAAGACCUUGGGCAAAUCAUGAUACCUUUUUCAGCCUUGUUCCUUCUCUCCAUGGUUUUUAUUUAUUUUAUUUUUUAUUUUUUGUAGAGAUGGGAUUUCACCACGUUGGCCAGGAUGGUCUUAAACUCCCGGCCGCAAGUGAUACACCCGCCUUGGCCUCCCAAAGUGCUGGGAUUACAGAUGUGAGCCACCCUGCCUGGCCUCCUUCUCUAUAUGGAAUAUUAACUCUUAGCUCAAAGGUUGUUAUGCAGAUGAAAUGCUAGCUUUCCAACCUCUCCAGCUUUUUCAUGCCCUUGGCUGAGUCAGCUCCUGCAUCCUGGGCAUUCUUAUCAUUGUCAUCAUGAUCUUUGACUGUGUGUGAACCCCUAAGGGCAAGAAAGUGUUCAUCUCUAGGUCCCUUUACCAACAGGGCUGGCCACACAGCUGGUAGGGACUACAAAGUGGUCUUGCAGGCCGGAGGCUCACGGUAUGAUAGCCCACUCACCCCCUGCCCUUCAUUUCCUUGCUUGGUAGAUGGGGCUGAAUCUGACAUACUAGGUGGCUUAGAAGGACUCUGGGGAAUUGCUGAGGCAGUCUGAUCAUGGGAAGCUGAGAACCUCCCUUGGGGCUGUGUAGAGCCUUUCACAGCUGACCAGGAGCAGGGGCUGAGUGGCACUGAAUGGGAGCUGAGGCUGCCUGGGCCCCUUCCUCAAAUCUGGCUGUCUACAGUAAAGGAUGGACAAAGAGCUCUUGAGGCCAUAACAUUCCUUUCUUUUUUUAAAUUUUAAAAAUUAUUAUUUUUAGAGACAGGGUCUUGCUCUGUUGUCCAGGCUGGAGUACAGUGGCAUAAUCAUAGCUCACUGCUGCCUUGAACUCAUGGUUAAAGCGAUCCUCCUGCCUCACCCUUCCAGGUAGCCAGGACUACAGGAAUGCACCACCACACCUGGCUACCUUCUUUUAAAAUUUAUUAUUUAUUUAUUUUGAGACAGGAGUCUCACUCUGUCACCUAGGCUGGAGUGCAGUGGCACGAUCUUGGCUCAAUGCGACCCUCCGCCUCCCGGGUUCAAGCAAUUCUCUUGCCUCAGCCUCCCAAGUAGCUGGGACUACAGAUGUGUGCCACCAGGCGCAGCUGAUUUUCGUAUUUUUUAUAGGGACGGGGUUUUGCCAUCAUGUUGGCCAGGCUGGUCUCGAACUUCUGACCUCAGGUUAUCCACCUGCCUUGGCCUCUCAAAGUGCUUGGAUUACAGGCGUGAGCCACGGCGCCCAGCCUUCAAAUUUAUUUUUAUAAUUUUUUUUUUUUUUUAGAUAGAGUCUUGUUAUGUUGCCCUGGCUGGAGUGCAGUGGUUAUUCACAGGCAUGAUCACAGCAUACUUCAGGCUGGAACUCCUGGGCUUGAAUGGUCUUUCUGCCUUAGCCUCCUGAGCAGCUGGGACUAUAGGUGCAUGACGCCGCACCUGGCCAUAACACUCCUUCUCAGCUCAUUUUUGAGUCAUGAAAAAUGCUCUUUCAAGAAUCACCAGGCCUAUGAUAAGUCCCAUGGAACAAACCUAUCACUGUGUAAGAGCUGAGCAGGAGAAAACCAUCUCUCCUCAUACACCUCAUUUGUUCAUUCAAUAAAAAUUCAUGACACACCACUAUGGACAUCAGGAAGUAGAGAUGAAUAAGGCUGGGUCUCUGCCCUAAGUGAUUAGCCUGGAAAGCCAUACUGGACACAGUGUCCAUACUGGCCUCCUUGUCUCCUUUCCUGCCCCUCCCUGCACUCCUUUACAUAACAGCCAGAACAGUUCUCUCAAACAUAAAGCAGAUCCCCAGCUUAAACCCUUUAAAGACCUUCAUGAGGCCCUAUGUGACAGGAGAAGCAGGAGAAGGUGGUGGAUGAGAAGAUGAGGCUGUACUGAGUUCAGGGCACCUGAACUCAAGGGAGACUUUCACAGGGUGCUCGACUCUGUCCCAACUCCUAAAGUGACUACUGGGGACUACUGAGGUCUGAAUGGGGUGGGGGUGAGGGGUCAAGACAGACAUACUAGAUCCAAUGGCAAUAUGGCUCAAAACCCUAGGUCUGUUAAGUUGUAGUCUGGCCCAUGAGGGAAAUUCUUUAUUUGGAUGCUUCAGUGACCAAGAGACAGAGCAUUAG
rnacentral:lncRNA from 1 species